UGAUGCUGCCAUGGGUCCCUGGCUCCUGGGCUAUAUCAUGCUUUGUCUUCUGGGAGCAGGCCCUAUGGAUGCCAAAGUAAUCCAGACUCCAAGACACCUCAUCACAGAGACUGGAAAGAAGUUGACAGUGAAUUGUUCUCAGGAUAUGAACCAUGACGCUAUGUACUGGUAUCGACAAGACCCAGGGCUGGGUCUAAAGCUGAUCCACUAUUCAACUAAUGUUGAAAUUCUUUACAAUGGAGAUGUCCCUGAUGGGUAUACUGUCUCUCGAAAAGACAAGGGGAAUUUCUCCCUGACCCUGAAGUCAGCCAGCAUCAACCAGAGCUCUCUGUACCUCUGUGCCAGCAGUGAAUCCACAGCACUGCACAGCCAGCUGCUGUCUGCACAAAAAGGGCAGCCACAAGAGCAAGGAGGCUCCUCCUCAGGAAGCCCCAUCCAACCAAGAGGAACAACUGCCCCCACCAUCAGCACCAUAGAAGUCCUUCUUCCACUCCCCAACUCUGGAAGUUGA